rnacentral:rRNA from 1 species
AUAAGGUUAAGUUAAUAAGGGCGCACGGUGGAUGCCUUGGCACUAGAAGCCGAAGAAGGACGUGACUAACGACGAAAUGCUUUGGGGAGCUGUAAGUAAGCGCUGAUCCAGAGAUGUCCGAAUGGGGGAACCCACUAGUUAAUGACUAGUAUCCAUAUCUGUUAAGGAUAUGAGAAGGAAGACGCAGUGAACUGAAACAUCUAAGUAGCUGCAGGAAGAGAAAGCAAAAGCGAUUGCCUUAGUAGCGGCGAGCGAAACGGCAGGAGGGCAAACCGAAGUGUUUACACUUCGGGGUUGUAGGACUGCGAUAUAGGAUUAAUCAUUAUAGAAGAAUUACCUGGGAAGGUAAGCCAAAGAGAGUAACAGCCUCGUAUUUAAAAUGAUAGAUUAACCUUAGCAGUAUCCUGAGUACGGCGAGACACGCGAAAUCUCGUCGGAAUCUGGGAGGACCAUCUCCCAACCCUAAAUACUCUCUAGUGACCGAUAGUGAACCAGUACCGUGAGGGAAAGGUGAAAAGCACCCCGGGAGGGGAGUGAAAUAGAACCUGAAACCGUGUGCCUACAACAAGUUCGAGCCCGUUAAUGGGUGAGAGCGUGCCUUUUGUAGAAUGAACCGGCGAGUUACGAUAUGAUGCGAGGUUAAGUUGAAGAGACGGAGCCGUAGGGAAACCGAGUCUUAAUAGGGCGUCAUAGUAUCAUGUUGUAGACCCGAAACCAUGUGACCUACCCAUGAGCAGGUUGAAGGUGAGGUAAAACUCACUGGAGGACCGAAACAUGGCACGGUGACAAGGGCUUGGAUGACUUGUGGGUAGCGGAGAAAUUUCAAACGAAGUUGGAG